rnacentral:lncRNA from 1 species
CGGAUGGGUGAUGGGUGCCCAGCAGUACUGAAGGCCUUCCUGAUCUGCAUCUUAGAGUCCAUGCAAGAUGUAGAAGUGUCUGCUGAGUACCCACUGUGCACAGAUCAUUGAGCCAGUGCUGAAGAUAUCAGUGUCCUGUGCUAAUGUUCACCUCUGCCUCCGCCAGGUGGUGCCUCUGAUUAUGAGCACACCCUCGAGUUCACCCAAAGUGCAGUGUGGAGGGAGGAUUCCUGAAUUUGGAGGCCUCAGUGGGAGCAGAUAGACCCAAGAGGAGACAAACUAGGAGUCCAGUCAAGCCACUGGAGGCGCAGAGGAUCUUGCAAGGACAGCAGACAUGUGGUUUAGAGGAACAAAGGGCAGGCAGGCAGCAGAGUCCAGCAGCAGCUGAGACAGUGGUACAAGGGAGGCUGUCUAUUUAUAGCACCCGAUGGUCCCCAAGUGCUGAUUGUGGCCCCAGAGGAGCCAGAGACCAGCAGGUAAGGGUGGCGUUUAGAGUAAGAAGCAAAGUGGUCCGGAUGGGCAAGUUCCACUACCCUAUCUGGGAGAGGAGGACCCUUUUGUGUGUGAUGUGCCCAGGA